rnacentral:rRNA from 1 species
UACGGAGGGGGCGAGCGUUGUUCGGAAUUACUGGGCGUAAAGGGUGCGUAGGCGGUGCUCUAAGUCGGAUGUGAAAACUCUGGGCUCAACCCAGAGCCUGCAUCCGAAACUGGAGUGCUAGAGUUCUGGAGGGGGUAGCGGAAUUCCUGGUGUAGCGGUGAAAUGCGUAGAUAUCAGGAGGAACACCGGUGACGAAGGCGGCUACCUGGACAGAAACUGACGCUGAGGCACGAAAGCUAGGGGAGCAAACAGG